AUGACGUGGUGCAUUAAGCUGCGUGGCCCACUGUUCGUCUCCAUGUUCAACCCCGUGGUCUUGGUGGUCUGCGCCGUGCUGGGCUGGGCGUUCCUCGGCGAAAAGAUACACCUCGGAGAUGCGGUUGGAUCGGUGCUCAUAGUGGCCGGCCUCUACAUGGUGCUAUGGGGAAAGGCCAGGGAGCCGCCCCACGUCGAGGAUGGUGCCGGCGCUGGUGUGUGA
rnacentral:rRNA from 1 species